AUUGAACGCUGGCGGCAGGCCUAACACAUGCAAGUCGAGCGAGCGGCGGACGGGUGAGUAAUGUCUGGGAAACUGCCUGAUGGAGGGGGAUAACUACAGGAAAAGGUAGCUAAUACAGCAUACCAUCAGAUGUGCCCAGAUGGGAUUAGCUAGUAGGUGGGGUAACGGCUCACCUAGGCGACGAUCCCUAGCUGGUCUGAGAGGAUGACCAGCCACACUGGAACGGCGACACGGUCCAGACUCCUACGGGAGGCAGCAGUGGGGAAUAUUGCACAAUGGGCGCAAGCCUGAUGCAGCCAUGCCGCGUGUGUGAAGAAGGCCUUCGGGUUGUAAAGCGCUUGCAGCGGGGAGGCGUUACCCGCAGAAGAAGCACCGGCUAACUCCGUGCCAGCAGCCGCGGUAAUUC
rnacentral:rRNA from 1 species